CCUACGGGCGGCAGCAGUGAGGAAUAUUGGUCAAUGGGCGAGAGUCUGAACCAGCCAAGUAGCGUGAAGGAUGACUGCCCUACGGGUUGUAAACUUCUUUUAUAUGGGAAUAAAAUGAUCCACGUGUGGGAUUUUGUAUGUACCUUAUGAAUAAGGAUCGGCUAACUCCGUGCCAGCAGCCGCGGUAAUACGGAGGAUCCGAGCGUUAUCCGGAUUUAUUGGGUUUAAAGGGAGCGUAGAUGGGUUGUUAAGUCAGUUGUGAAAGUUUGCGGCUCAACCGUAAAAUUGCAAUUGAGACUGGCGGUCUUGAGUACAGUUGAGGUAGGCGGAAUGCGUGGUGUAGCGGUGAAAUGCUUAGAUAUCACGCAGAACUCCGAUUGCGAAGGCAGCCUACUAACUUCCGACUGACAUUGAAGCUCGAAAGCGUGGGGAUCAAACAGGAUUAGAUACCCCAGUAGUC
rnacentral:rRNA from 1 species